rnacentral:rRNA from 1 species
CAGUCGCCACGGGAAUACGUAGGUGGCAAGCGUUGUCCGGAAUUAUUGGGCGUAAAGGGCUCGCAGGCGGUUUCUUAAGUCUGAUGUGAAAGCCCCCGGCUCAACCGGGGAGGGUCAUUGGAAACUGGGAAACUUGAGUGCAGAAGAGGAGAGUGGAAUUCCACGUGUAGCGGUGAAAUGCGUAGAGAUGUGGAGGAACACCAGUGGCGAAGGCGACCCUCUGAUCUGUAACUGACGCUGAGGAGCGAAAGCGUGGGGAGCGAACAGGAUUAGAUACCCGUGUAGUCCCUGUCUCUUAUAA